rnacentral:rRNA from 1 species
AUUGAACGCUGGCGGCAUGCUUUACACAUGCAAGUCGAGCGGCAGCGCGGGGGCAACCCUGGCGGCGAGCGGCGAACGGGUGAGUAAUGCAUCGGAACGUACCCUGGAGUGGGGGAUAACGCCGCGAAAGCGGCGCUAAUACCGCAUAUGCUCUGAGGAGGAAAGUGGGGGACCGCAAGGCCUCACGCUCUGGGAGCGGCCGAUGUCCGAUUAGCUAGUUGGUGGGGUAAAGGCUUACCAAGGCGACGAUCGGUAGCUGGUCUGAGAGGAUGAUCAGCCACACUGGGACUGAGACACGGCCCAGACUCCUACGGGAGGCAGCAGUGGGGAAUUUUGGACAAUGGGGGCAACCCUGAUCCAGCCAUGCCGCGUGAGUGAAGAAGGCCUCGGGUUGGUAAAGUACUCUUUGGUUCGGGAAGGAAAGACGCCGUUGCCUAAUACGCGAGGUGGUUGACGGUACCGGCGAGAA